rnacentral:rRNA from 1 species
CUGGUUGAUCCUGCCAGUAGUCAUAUGCUUGUCUCAAAGAUUAAGCCAUGCAUGUGUAAAUAUGAACAAAUUAUACAGUGAAACUGCGAAUGGCUCAUUAAAUCAGUUAUCGUUUGUUUGAUGGUACCUUUACUACUCGGAUAACCGUGGUAAUUCUAGAGCUAAUACAUGCUAAAAACCCCGACUGUUUGGAAGGGAUGUAUUUAUUAGAUAAAAAAUCAAUGCUCUUUGAGCUCUUUGAUUCAUAAUAACUUUUCGAAUCGCAUGGCCUUGUGCUGGCGAUGGUUCAUUCAAAUUUCUGCCCUAUCAACUUUCGAUGGUAGGAUAGUGGCCUACCAUGGUUUCAACGGGUAACGGGGAAUAAGGGUUCGAUUCCGGAGAGGGAGCCUGAGAAACGGCUACCACAUCCAAGGAAGGCAGCAGGCGCGCAAAUUACCCAAUCCCGACACGGGGAGGUAGUGACAAUACAUAACGAUACAGGGCCCUUUCGGGUCUUGUAAUUGGAAUGAGUACAAUGUAAAUACCUUAACGAGGAACAAUUGGAGGGCAAGUCUGGU